UAACAAGGAUUCCCCUAGUAACUGCGAGUGAAGCGGGAAAAGCUCAAAUUUAAAAUCUGACAGUUUCACUGUCCGAGUUGUAAUCUGGAGAAGCAUUUUCCGUGUCGGACCGUGUACAAGUCUCUUGGAAUAGAGCGUCAUAGAGGGUGAGAAUCCCGUCCAUGACACGGACUACCGAUGCUUUGUGAUAUGCUCUCGAAGAGUCGAGUUGUUUGGGAAUGCAGCUCAAAAUGGGUGGUAAAUUCCAUCUAAAGCUAAAUAUUGGCGAGAGACCGAUAGCGAACAAGUACCGUGAGGGAAAGAUGAAAAGCACUUUGGAAAGAGAGUUAAACAGUACGUGAAAUUGUUGAAAGGGAAACGCUUGAAGUCAGUCGCGUUGAUUGAGACUCAGCCUUGCUUUGCAUGGUGUACUUCUCAGUUAACGGGUCAACAUCAAUUUCAGUUGGUGGAUAAAGGCAUUGGGAAUGUGGCACCUUCGGGUGUGUUAUAGACCUUUGUUGCAUACACUGACCGGGAUUGAGGAACGCAGCACGCCACUAAGGCCAGGGGUUCGCCCCAUGUAACGUGCUUAGGAUGUUGGCAUAAUGGCUUUAAGCGACCCGUCUUGAAACACGGACCAAGGAGUCUAACAUGCCUGCGAGUAUUAGGGUGGAAAACCCUUGUGCGUAAUGAAAGUGAAAGUUGGGACCUCUUGCGAGGGCACCGACGCCCGGCCCUGAAGUUUACUGACGGCGCUGCGGUAGAGCAUGUAUGUUGGGACCCGAAAGAUGGUGAACUAUGCCUGAAUAGGGUGAAGCCAGGGGAAACUCUGGUGGAGGCUCGUAGCGAUUCUGACGUGCAAAUCGAUCGUCAAAUUUGGG
rnacentral:rRNA from 2 species